rnacentral:lncRNA from 1 species
AUUUUUAUCCAUCUCCAAGUUCCUUCUUGGGACCCAGCGUCUGAUUGCCUGGGGCGGCCACAUUCCUGUCCUUGUACCUUACAUGGUGCUUGUGUGCUCCCAUCAUGGAUUGUCAAUUCUCGUUGGCAUCCAGACGGGAGACAAGUCAGCGAUAAGUGCCAAGGAGAAGACGGAAGCGGGUGGGCCCCUCUGUGUAGGACUUCUGUCUGAAUCAGGUGGAGGGAAGACAUGGGGAGGAGCCGCAUGGCUGCAGUGCCAGCUGGGAGAGAAGUACGGGCAGAGGGAGCUGCCGCGACCACAUGUUUUCCUGCAGCCUGUUGGGUGCGAGGGGAGGCAGUAAAGCUGGAAGGGAGUAGUUGAGAGCCUUCUGGGCAUCCCAAGCCCAGAGCAAGCACACUUGUUGCUGCCAUCCCUGCCCACCCCUCCGUCUUUUUACCUAUGCCUCUCUGACUCCUCCCAUUGCAUGUGGGCAUCUGUUGUGGACAUAAAGGGAGGUACAGCAAGGCUUUUUUUUUUAAGUUGGGGUUCUGCUUUUUUUACCCAGGCUGGAGUGCAGUGGCACAAUCUCAGCUCACUGCAACCUCCGCCUCUGGGACUCGAGCAAUUCUCCUGCCUCAGCCUCCCUAGUAGCUGGGAUUACAGGUGCCCGCCACCACGCCCGGCUAAUUUUUUGUAUUUUUGGUAGAGACGGGAUUUCACCAUGUUGGCCAGCCUAGUCUCGAACUCCUGACCUCAGGUGAUCCACCUGCCUCAGCCUCCCAAAGUGCCGGCCCGGCCAGGCUGUGUUCUUAAGGACAGAUGAGGGGCAGCUGCUUAGACGACCCUUGAACAAUGCAGGGGUAGGGGCGCCAACCACCUGAGCAGUUGAAAAUCCCCAUAUAACUGUUGACUCUGCCAGAAUUGCAGUACUCGCAGCCUACCAUUGACUGGAAGCCUCACCAACAACAUGAACAGUCGAUUAACACAUAUUUCAUAUGUUCUAUGUAUUACAUAGUGCAUUCUUACAGUAAAGUAAGCUAGAGGAAAGAAAAUGCUACUAAGAAAUCAUGAGGAAGAGAAAUACAUUCAUAGUACUGUACUGUGUUUAUCGAUACCCUAAGUCUAUAGGAUGAAUCAUCUUUCUGAAAUGGUGGCAUCCACAGGUGGCGUCCACAUCUGCAGACCUGAAUCUACUGUCCAUAUCAAGCAAUUCCACGUUUUCUUGUAAUGUCACGGCUUUCCCUUGCUUCUCGGGAGCACUUCCAGCAUCACUAGUGGCAUGUCACAUGGGUCCCCCUGGGGUUAUUCACCUUUUACAGUAUUGCACGAAAUGCAUGAAAAAUCCUCUAGAACCGUGAGAGGUCACUUUUUAAUGUGAUGUGCAUUUUGCUGGAGAGAGGAGCUGCCCACUCGGAGGUGAUUAGCACUGCACAACAUUUUAAGGGGAUCUUCGAAACACUUGAGUGAAACUGAGCACAGUGGCAACAGGAGGCAGCUGUGAAAUGCCGACAGGAGCACGAUGUGGGCCACAGCUCCCUGUCUGCAGUUAUGAUUGCAGAUCGCAUCUUUCUGUUGGUUUACACUUCGCUCAGCUGCACAUAGUGCCAUCUCUGGAAGCAUGUGCACAUUUGUGUAUACUUUAUGGACGUGGCUGAUAAAAGACUAGUAUCUACCUAU